CAACCGGUUUUUUUUAAAACCAUGUCUAAAUAUAACCAAAUACCCU
rnacentral:ncRNA from 1 species